rnacentral:rRNA from 1 species
GAUGAACGCUGGCGGCGUGCUUGAUACAUGCAAGUCGAACGCAUCGGCAAAGCCAAGGUGUCCUGGCGGAACCGGAGGGCGAGAAAUCGUUCAAAGGGGACAAAAGGGCAAGGAGGCGGAGCUGGUGAGGGGCGGACGGGUGAGUAACACGUAGGUGAUCUGCCUCAAAGUGGGGGAUAACUGUUCGAAAGGGCAGCUAAUACCGCAUGUGGUCCUUGGGAGACCGAGGAAGAAAGGCGAGGGUCGCUUUGAGAUGAGCCUGCGGCCGAUUAGCUAGUUGGUGAGGUAAAGGCUCACCAAGGCCGAAGAUCGGUAGCUGGUCUGAGAGGAUGAUCAGCCACACUGGGAUUGAGAACGGCCCAGACUCCUACGGGAGGCAGCAGUAAGGAAUAUUGCACGAAUGGGGGAACCCUGAUGCAGCAACGCCGCGUGGGUGAAGAAGGCUUCGAGUUGUAAACCUUUCUGUGGAUGAGGAGGACAGUACCAAGGAC